GGAGUCUCUGGGAGCAAUGAAGCUGUGGGGAGGCUGGGUGAUAGGAGUCUCUGGGAGCAGUGGUGAGUUUUCCCUCGGUGGGCACGUUCAAUGUGGUAUCGGGCUCCCAACCCGGGUUUGAGGAGCUGACCAACCUUAUCCGGACCAUCCGUAAUGCCAUGAAGAUUCGUGAUGUCACCAAGUGCCUGGAAGAGUUUGAGCUCCUGGGAAAAGCAUAUGGGAAGGCCAAAAGCAUUGUGGACAAAGAAGGUGUCCCCCGGUUCUAUAUCCGCAUCCUGGCUGACCUAGAGGACUAUCUUAAUGAGCUUUGGGAAGAUAAGGAAGGGAAGAAGAAGAUGAACAAGAACAAUGCCAAGGCUCUGAGCACCUUGCGUCAGAAGAUCCGAAAAUACAACCGUGAUUUCGAGUCCCAUAUCACAAGCUACAAGCAGAACCCUGAGCAGUCUGCGGAUGAAGAUGCUGAGAAAAAUGAGGAGGAUUCAGAAGGCUCUUCAGAUGAGGAUGAGGAUGAGGACGGAGUCAGUGCUGCAACUUUCUUGAAGAAGAAAUCAGAAGCUCCUUCUGGGGAGAGUCGCAAGUUCCUCAAAAAGAUGGAUGAUGAAGAUGAGGACUCAGAAGAUUCCGAAGAUGAUGAAGACUGGGACACAGGUUCCACAUCUUCCGAUUCCGACUCAGAGGAGGAAGAAGGGAAACAAACCGCGCUGGCCUCAAGAUUUCUUAAAAAGGCACCCACCACAGAUGAGGACAAGAAGGCAGCCGAGAAGAAACGGGAGGACAAAGCUAAGAAGAAGCACGACAGGAAAUCCAAGCGCCUGGAUGAGGAGGAGGAGGACAAUGAAGGCGGGGAGUGGGAAAGGGUCCGGGGCGGAGUGCCGUUGGUUAAGGAGAAGCCAAAAAUGUUUGCCAAGGGAACUGAGAUCACCCAUGCUGUUGUUAUCAAGAAACUGAAUGAGAUCCUACAGGCACGAGGCAAGAAGGGAACUGAUCGUGCUGCCCAGAUUGAGCUGCUGCAACUGCUGGUUCAGAUUGCAGCGGAAAACAACCUGGGAGAGGGCGUCAUUGUCAAGAUCAAGUUCAAUAUCAUCGCCUCUCUCUAUGACUACAACCCCAACCUGGCAACCUACAUGAAGCCAGAGAUGUGGGGGAAGUGCCUGGACUGCAUCAAUGAGCUGAUGGAUAUCCUGUUUGCAAAUCCCAACAUUUUUGUUGGAGAGAAUAUUCUGGAAGAGAGUGAGAACCUGCACAACGCUGACCAGCCACUGCGUGUCCGUGGCUGCAUCCUAACUCUGGUGGAACGAAUGGAUGAAGAAUUUACCAAAAUAAUGCAAAAUACUGACCCUCACUCCCAAGAGUACGUGGAGCACUUGAAGGAUGAGGCCCAGGUGUGUGCCAUCAUCGAGCGUGUGCAGCGCUACCUGGAGGAGAAGGGCACUACCGAGGAGGUCUGCCGCAUCUACCUGCUGCGCAUCCUGCACACCUGCUACAAGUUUGAUUACAAGGCCCAUCAGCGGCAGCUGACCCCGCCUGAGGGCUCCUCAAAGUCUGAGCAAGACCAGGCAGAAAAUGAGGGCGAGGACUCGGCUGUGUUGAUGGAGAGACUGUGCAAGUACAUCUACGCCAAGGACCGCACAGACCGGAUCCGCACAUGCGCCAUCCUCUGCCACAUCUACCACCAUGCUCUGCACUCCCGCUGGUACCAGGCCCGCGACCUCAUGCUCAUGAGCCACUUGCAGGACAACAUUCAGCAUGCAGACCCGCCAGUGCAGAUCCUUUACAACCGCACCAUGGUGCAGCUGGGCAUCUGUGCCUUCCGCCAAGGCCUGACCAAGGACGCACACAACGCCCUGCUGGACAUCCAGUCGAGUGGCCGAGCCAAGGAGCUUCUGGGCCAGGGCCUGCUGCUGCGCAGCCUGCAGGAGCGCAACCAGGAGCAGGAGAAGGUGGAGCGGCGCCGUCAGGUCCCCUUCCACCUGCACAUCAACCUGGAGCUGCUGGAGUGUGUCUACCUGGUGUCUGCCAUGCUCCUGGAGAUCCCCUACAUGGCCGCCCAUGAGAGCGAUGCCCGCCGACGCAUGAUCAGCAAGCAGUUCCACCACCAGCUGCGCGUGGGCGAGCGACAGCCCCUGCUGGGUCCCCCUGAGUCCAUGCGGGAACAUGUGGUCGCUGCCUCCAAGGCCAUGAAGAUGGGUGACUGGAAGACCUGUCACAGUUUUAUCAUCAAUGAGAAGAUGAAUGGGAAAGUGUGGGACCCUUUCCCCGAGGCUGACAAAGUCCGCACCAUGCUGGUUAGGAAGAUCCAGGAAGAGUCACUGAGGACCUACCUCUUCACCUACAGCAGUGUCUAUGACUCCAUCAGCAUGGAGAUGCUGUCAGACAUGUUUGAGCUGGAUCUGCCCACUGUGCACUCCAUCAUCAGCAAAAUGAUCAUUAAUGAGGAGCUGAUGGCCUCCCUGGACCAGCCAACACAGACAGUGGUGAUGCACCGCACUGAGCCCACUGCCCAGCAGAACCUGGCUCUGCAGCUGGCCGAGAAGCUGGGCAGCCUGGUGGAGAACAACGAACGGGUGUUUGACCACAAGCAGGGCACCUACGGGGGCUACUUCCGAGACCAGAAGGACGGCUACCGCAAAAACGAGGGCUACAUGCGCCGCGGUGGCUACCGCCAGCAGCAGUCUCAGACGGCCUACUGAGCUCUCCACUCUGUUUCCCGCCUAGGCCAUCCAACCUUGAAGUCCUAAACCACAUCUCGGUCACUAAAGGUUUCAGGCACAGAACUGUAUAUCCAAUAAUGGUGAAAUGGAUCCCACUAAUUAUGACAGAAAUGAUGAUACAUUUAAAUGACUUGGAUGUUUUAUAGGUUGGCAAUCAUCAUGAGCCUCUGUUCUCAUUCUGCAAAUGGUGAAGCUCUCUAUUGUCCUGACCCCACAGUUCCUGUCCCAUGACCAGGGCCAGCUCACCAAGGAGCUGCAGCAGCACGUAAAGUCAGUGACAUGCCCAUGCGAGUACCUGAGGAAGGUGAGUGAGUGCAGACAGAUGGGGCCUGGUGCCCUUGAGCAGUUCCCGGGUCUCAGCUGCCACACAUCUCAUAGCGGGUGAUGCUGGGGGAAGCUUACGCAGUCACAGUACUGGCUUCUUCCUCUUUUUCUUUCCAUACAAGUGGCUUAGGGGUGGGGUAGAGUAGUUGACUUAUUUGGAUGAAAACCACUAUCUUCUGUCAGAAACUCAAAAGGAAUCAUUGCUGGCAUGGUAACCUAAAGAAAAACAACCAGACAAGUGCCCAACGACACUUAAAAAGGUUAUUUAUUAUCUUGCCAAGUUUAGGCUGGGCGUGGUGACUCAUGCCUGUAAUCCCAGCAUUUUGGGAGGCUGAGGCUGGUGGAUCACCUGAGGCCAGGACUUCGAGACCAGCCUGACCAAUAUGGCAAAACCUCGUCCCUACUAAAAAUACAAAAAUUAGCCGGGCAUGGUGGUGUGAGCCUGUAGUCCCAGCUACUCAGGAGGCUGAGACAGGAGAAUUGCUUAGAUUCAGGAGGUGGAGGUUUUAGUGGGCCGAGAUCACGCCAUUGCACUCCAGACUGUGCGACAGAGCGAGACUCUGUCAAAAAAAAAAAAAAAUUAUCCUGCAAAAUUUGAAAAGGAAAUUCAAAUCAACAGCUUCUAAACUACUUUUUAACAUGACUCAUAAUAAGAAAUACAUUCUAUAGUACAUAUAUAUGUUCUAUAAUUUUGAAUAAAAGAAUUAACCACAUCACAUUUAUUUUACAACAUGUAAUACAUAUUUUUUAUUCUCCUUCAUUUGUUUUGAAUGCUCUGUGCAGUCUACAAAAAGUCCAAUAGUAAUAAUUAAAUUAGUCAUUAAGUUGAACAUUAUCUUGUCUUUUAAAAUGAUAAUCUCAAAAAUGAUCUUUUAUUUUUGAGAUUUAUAUAGAUACACACACACACACACACACACACACACAUAUAUAUAUAGAGAGAGAGACAGAGUUUCACUCUGUCGCCCAGGCUGGAGUGCAGUGGCACAAUCUUGGCUCACUGCAACCUCCAUCUCCCAGGUUCAAGCAAUUCCUCUGCCUCAGCCUCUGAGUAGCUGGGACUACAGGUGUGCACCAUCAUGCCCAGCUAAUUUUUGUAUUCUUAGUAGAGAUGGGGUUUCACCAUAUUGGCCAGGCUCGUGUCAACUCCUGACCUCGUAAUCUGCCCACCGUGGCCUCCCAAAGUGCUGGGACUAUAGGUGUGAGCCACUGCACCCGGUCCAAGAUAAAAUUAUUUUAACAAUAUACUAUGAAGAGAAAAACACUGGCUAUGAAAGAAUAUGCAUAGUUUUACCCUGUUUAAAAAUAAAGAUUGAAAGAAUACAUAUGCAAAUAAGUUUACUUUUAUUUUUGGUAAUACUUUACUGGAUUGUCUGAAUAUUGACAAUCAGUAUGCAUCAUGAAGCUACAUGGCUAACAUUGAGUACUCACUGUGUGUGCCAGGCCCUGGGUUCAAUGCUCUACAUGCACUUAUAUUUCAUUUAAUUCUCUCUGCAACCUGAGAUGGUAUAGCCACCUCAUUUUACAGAGUUGAAACUGAGGCUCAGAGACUGAAAGUUAGGCCUGAGGUUACAGUCAAUAAGAGGCAGAGCUGGAACUGAAACCUACGUGUGUCUGACCACCAGUUCAUGUUCUGACGGCAGGCUAGUCUGCAUCACAGAGCGUGGGGUAGAUGGUGCAUGCCUGCUAGGAUGGGCUAGGUAUCACUGUAGGUAAGAAACAGCCCCAAACGAUGGAAAUGUACACCACUGAAGGCUCUUUUCCUGCCCAUGCUGCACAUCCUCCAUGGCUCUCCUGUGCCCUGUGCCCCACAUGCCCUCAUCCUGCCACGAGAAUAAAGGAGCAGCCUCCAUAUGGGAGCUGUCAGCUGCUCUAAGAGAUGAAGGAGAGGGUGGCCAGUCUCAAUGGCUCCCAACUCUUUUGCCUCGAGGUGACACGCUUCACUUCCACUCACAUCUCUUGGGUCAAAGCAAAUCCCAUGGGUACAUCCACUUUCAAGUGGCCCAGGAGAGAACCUGAAAUACUCGGUGGACUCCAUUAAGGCCGUCAUAUGGUGUCAG